AAUGGGCGCAAGCCUGAUCCAGCAAUGCCGCGUGGGUGAAGACGGCCUGCGGGUUGUAAAGCCCUUUUGGUGGGGAAGAAAGCCCUAAGGUAAACAGCCUUGGGGGGUGACGUUACCUGCCGAAGAAGCACCGGCCAACUCCGUGCCAGCAGCCGCGGUAAUACGGAGGGUGCAAGCGUUAAUCGGAAUUACUGGGCGNAAAGCGCACGUAGGCGGUGGUUCUAGUCCGUUGGGAAAGCCCUGGGCUAAACCUGGGAAAGGCAAGGGAAACGGAACCACUAGAGUGUAGAAGAGGACCGUGGAAUUCCCGGUGUAGCGGUGAAAUGCGUAGAGAUCGGGAAGAACACCGAUGGCGAAGGCAGCGGUCUGGGUUAACACUGACGCUGAGGUGCGACAGCGUGGGGAGCAAA
rnacentral:rRNA from 1 species